rnacentral:rRNA from 1 species
GCACAAGCGGUGGAGCAUGUGGUUCAAUUCGACGCAACGCGAAGAACCUUACCUGGGCUCGAAGCGCAGUGGACCGGGGUAGAAAUAUCCCUUCCCCUUAAAAGGCUGCUGCGGAGGUGCUGCAUGGCUGUCGUCAGCUCGUGUCGUGAGAUGUUGGGUUAAGUCCCGCAACGAGCGCAACCCUUAUCCCUAGUUGCCAUCGGGUCAAGCCGGGCACUCUAGUGAAACUGCCUCGGAUAACGAGGAGGAAGGUGGGGAUGACGUCAAGUCCUCAUGGCCUUUAUGUCCAGGGCUACACACGUGCUACAAUGGUCGGUACAAACCGUCGCAAACCCGUGAGGGGGAGCUAAUCGGAAAAAGCCGGCCUCAGUUCGGAUUGGAGUCUGCAACUCGACUCCAUGAAGCUGGAAUCGCUAGUAAUCGCGGAUCAGAACGCCGCGGUGAAUACGUUCCCGGGC